rnacentral:misc_RNA from 1 species
UCCGAGUUGACCCCGGCGGUCUCCCAUGAGUCCCCGCCAUUACGCGCUGGCAACAUGGAACGAGGGUUGCGCUCGUUGCGGGACUUAACCCAACAUCUCACGACACGAGCUGACGACAACCAUGCACCACCUGUGCACGGCCCUUACGGACCCCCCAUCUCUGGAGGAUUUCCGCGCAUGUCAAGCCUAGGUAAGGUUCUCCGCGUUGCAUCGAAUUAAGCAACAUGCUCCGCCGCUUGUGCGGGCCCCCGUCAAUUCCUUUGAGUUUUAGCCUUGCGGCCGUACUCCCCAGGCGGAACACUUAACGCGUUGGCUUCGGCACAGGGGGAUUCGACUCCCCCUACACCUAGUGUUCAUCGUUUACGGCAUGGACUA